rnacentral:rRNA from 1 species
CGGGUAUGAGUGCCGCUUUGUGUUUGUCAUCCUUCCAGAAAGCUGCGUCUACCGUUCAUUCGGCCGGAUGUAUGCGAUCUGGAUCUAUUACUUUGAAAAAAUUAGAGUGUUUAAAGCAGGCUUAUGCUGUGAAUACAUUAGCAUGGAAUAAUAAUUUAGGACUUUGGUUCUAUUUUGUUGGUUUCUAGGACUGAAGUAAUGAUUGAUAGGGAUAGUUGGGGGUGCUAGUAUUCCGCGGCCAGAGGUGAAAUUCUUGGAUCUAUUGAAGACUAACUACUGCGAAAGCAUUUGCCAAGGAUGUUUUCAUUGAUAAGGAACGAAAGUUAGGGGAUCGAAGACGAUCAGAUACCGUCGUAGUCUUAACUAUAAACUAUGCCGACUAGGGAUCGGACGAUGUUAUUUCUUGACGCGUUCGGCACCUUUCGAGAAAUCAAAGUGCUUGGGCUCCAGGGGGAGUAUGGUCGCAAGGCUGAAACUUAAAGAAAUUGACGGAAGGGCACCACCAGGGGUGGAACCUGCGGCUUAAUUUGACUCAACACGGGGAAACUCACCAGGUCCAGACACAGUGAGGAUUGACAGAUUGAGAGCUCUUUCUUGAUUCUGUGGGUGGUGGUGCAUGGCCGUUCUUAGUUGGUGGAGUGAUUUGUCUGCUUAAUUGCGAUAACGAACGAGACCUUAACCUGCUAAAUAGCCCGUACUGCUCUGGCAGUUCGCCGGCUUCUUAGAGGGACUAUCGG